GGAUGAAGAACGCAGCGAAAUGCGAUAAGUAAUGUGAAUUGCAGAAUUCAGUGAAUCAUCGAAUCUUUGAACGCACAUUGCGCCCGCCAGUAUUCUGGCGGGCAUGCCUGUUCGAGCGUCAUUUCAACCCUCAGGCCCCGCCUGGCGUUGGGGAUCGGCGCGGCCCUCUCCGGGCUGCCGGCCCCGAAAACUAGUGGCGGUCUCGCUGUAGUCCUCCUCUGCGCAGUAGCAACGCUCGCACUGGAACUCGGCGCGGCCACGCCGUAAAACACCCCACUUCUGAAAGUUGACCUCGGAUCAGGUAGGAAUACCCGCUGAACUUAAGCAUAUCAAUAAGCGGAGGA
rnacentral:misc_RNA from 1 species